GGGGAUUUGGCUCAGUGGUAGAGCGCUUACCUAGGAAGUACAAGGUCCUGGGUUCGGUCCCCAGCCCCG
rnacentral:tRNA from 1 species